AGUGAACGCUGGCGGUAGGCCUAACACAUGCAAGUCGAACGGCAGCACAGUAAGAGCUUGCUCUUACGGGUGGCGAGUGGCGGACGGGUGAGGAAUACAUCGGAAUCUACUUUUUCGUGGGGGAUAACGUAGGGAAACUUACGCUAAUACCGCAUACGACCUACGGGUGAAAGCAGGGGAUCUUCGGACCUUGCGCGAUUGAAUGAGCCGAUGUCGGAUUAGCUAGUUGGCGGGGUAAAGGCCCACCAAGGCGACGAUCCGUAGCUGGUCUGAGAGGAUGAUCAGCCACACUGGAACUGAGACACGGUCCAGACUCCUACGGGAGGCAGCAGUGGGGAAUAUUGGACAGUGGGCGCAAGCCUGAUCCAGCCAUACCGCGUGGGUGAAGAAGGCCUUCGGGUUGUAAAGCCCUUUUGUUGGGAAAGAAAAGCAGCAGGUUAAUACCCCGCUGUUCUGACGGUACCCAAAGAAUAAGUACCGGCUAACUUCGUG
rnacentral:rRNA from 1 species